rnacentral:rRNA from 1 species
UACAGAGAGUGCAAGCGUUAAUCGGAAUUACUGGGCGUAAAGCGCACGUAGGUGGAUAUUUAAGUCGAAUGUGAAAACCCUGGGCUUAACCUAGGAAUUGCAUCCGAUACUGGGUAUCUAGAGUAUGGUAGAGGGAAGUGGAAUUUCCGGUGUAGCGGUGAAAUGCGUAGAUAUCGGAAAGAACACCAGUGGCGAAGGCGACUUCCUGGACCAAUACUGACACUGAGGUGCGAAAGCGUGGGGAGCACACAGG